UUAAGUCGACCGCCUGGGGAGUACGGCCGCAAGGUUAAAACUCAAAUGAAUUGACCGGGGGCCNCGCCACAANGCCGGUGGAGCAUGUGGUUUAAUUCCGAUGGCUAACGCGAANGAACCUUACCUACCCUUGACAUCCAGAGAAUCUGUUAGAGAUAGUNAGAGUGGCCCUUCGGGAACUNCUGAGACAGGUGCUNGCAUGGCUGUCGUCAGCUCGNUGUCGUGAGAUGUUGGGUUAAGUCCCGUAACGAGCGCAACCCUUAUCCUUAGUUGCCAGCNNGGGUAAUGCNCGGGAACUCUAGGGAGACUGCCNGGUGAUAAAACCGGAGGAAGGUGGGGACGACGUCAAGUCAUCAUGGCCCUUAUGGGUAGNGGCUACACACGUGCUACAAUGGCCGGUACAGAGGGCUGCGAACUUGCGAAAGUAAGCAAAUCCCAGAAAGCCGGUCCUAGUCCGGAUUGGAGUCUGCAACUCGACUCCAUGAAGUCGGAAUCGCUAGUAACCGCGAAUCAGAAUGUCGCGGUGAAUACGUUCCCGG
rnacentral:rRNA from 1 species